UUAAAUGGCAGACGUUAUUUUCUUGUUCAAUCGCGUAUGAGCUUUAUCGAACCACAAAAUGUAGUCGCACCCAAAAUAGAUGUUGCUCACUACCAGGAGGGAGAUCUCAUCAAAGCCACUUACCAAAAACAAACAUACGAUGCGGUGAUCAGUGAAAUCCAUCAUGACGAGGUUUCUCUUGAAGCAAGCAAAGCGACCGCCUAAGCAUGCUUUCGAGGCAACUUAAGAUAGGAAAAAAACUCAAGAGUUCAGUGAUCAAACACCAACAGAGCCUCGUGAUAAGUUGCCUGUAAAGAGGAGCAUGAACCCAUCAGAUGCCUCCGAAGAUAUUGACCUGACGAACAAUGCUGCAAAGCAAAAUCUCAGUAAGCAAAGUGCUCAAACACCUACAGAGCCUCGUGACAAGUUGCUUGUACACAGAAGAGCCUGAUCCCAUCAGAUGCCUCCGAAGAGAUUGAAAAGAACUGUUAUGGACAUUUUCAGAACUGUUUUAGAACAUUUGUUCCAGACUUAUUUGAAGCAACCCUUCGAAACUGUUCUAAACAUUUCUAGAAUUGUACUGGAACACACCGGCUAGAACUGUUCUGUAAUCAUACUGAAAAUGUUCUAGAAUUAUUCUGGAACAGUUGUUGAACGUUAAAUGAGAAAAAAAUUCUAGAACAAUUCUAUAACAGUUCUGGAAAUUUAUUCAAGAAAAAUUCUGGAAUAGUUCUAGAACGAUAGUUCAAGAAUUGUUCUAGAACAGUUGUUGAACGUUAAAUGAGAAAAAUUUCUAGAACAAUUCUAUAACAGUUCUGGAAA